UCUGAUGUUCUGCGCCCACCUGAAA
rnacentral:miRNA from 1 species